UACGUAGGGUGCAAGCGUUAAUCGGAAUUACUGGGCGUAAAGCGUGCGCAGGCGGUUUGAUGAGAUACGUGUGAAAUCCCCGGGCUACCACUGGGAAUUGCGAUGGAGACUGCAAGGCUAGAAUCUGGCAGAGGUGGGUGGAAUUCCUAGUGUAGAGGUGAAAUUCGUAGAUAUUAGGAAGAACACCGGUGGCGAAGGCGGCCCACUGGCUCGAUACUGACGCUGAGGUGCGAAAGCGUGGGGAGCAAACAGG
rnacentral:rRNA from 1 species